rnacentral:rRNA from 1 species
GACGAACGCUGGCGGCGUGCCUAAUACAUGCAAGUCGAGCGCAGGAAGCCGUCUGAACCCUUCGGGGGGACGACGGUGGAAUGAGCGGCGGACGGGUGAGUAACACGUAAAGAACCUGCCCAUAGGUCUGGGAUAACCACGAGAAAUCGGGGCUAAUACCGGAUGAGUCAUCGGACCGCAUGGCCCGCUGACGAAAGGCGCUUCGGCGUCGCCCAUGGAUGGCUUUGCGGUGCAUUAGCUAGUUGGUGGGGUAAUGGCCCACCAAGGCGACGAUGCAUAGCCGACCUGAGAGGGUGAUCGGCCACACUGGGACUGAGACACGGCCCAGACUCCUACGGGAGGCAGCAGUAGGGAAUCUUCCACAAUGGACGAAAGUCUGAUGGAGCAACGCCGCGUGAACGAUGAAGGCUUUCGGGUCGUAAAGUUCUGUUGUAAGGGAAGAACAAGUGCCGCAGGCAAUGGCGGCACCUUGACGGUACCUUGCGAGAAAGCCACGGCUAACUACGUGCCAGCCGCCGCCGUAAGAC